UCCGGCUUAUCACCGGCAGUUCUCUUAGAGUUCCCGACAUAACUCGCUGGCAACUAAGAGUGAGGGUUGCGCUCGUUGCAGGACUUAACCCAACAUCUCACGACACGAGCUGACGACGGCCAUGCAACACCUGUGUGUGGUCCGGCCGAACCGACGGACUCAUCUCUGAGCCCUACGACCACCAUGUCAAAGGUUGGUAAGGUUUUUCGUGUAACAUCGAAUUAAACCGCAUGCUCCACUGCUUGUGCGGGUCCCCGUCAAUUCCUUUGAGUUUUAAUCUUGCGAUCUUACUCCCCAGGCGGAGUGCUUAAUGCGUUAGCUGCGGCACCGAAAUAAAUCCCGAUACCUAGCACUCAUCGUUUACAGCGUGGACUAC
rnacentral:misc_RNA from 1 species